AUUGAACGCUGGCGGCAGGCCUAACACAUGCAAGUCGAGCGGAUGAAGAGGGCUUGCUCUUUGAUUUAGCGGCGGACGGGUGAGUAAUGCCUAGGAAUCUGCCUGGUAGUGGGGGAUAACGUUCCGAAAGGAACGCUAGUACCGCAUACGUCCUACGGGAGAAAGCAGGGGACCUUCGGGCCUUGCGCUAUCAGAUGAGCCUAGGUCGGAUUAGCUAGUUGGUGAGGUAAUGGCUCACCAAGGCUACGAUCCGUAACUGGUCUGAGAGGAUGAUCAGUCACACUGGAACUGAGACACGGUCCAGACUCCUACGGGAGGCAGCAGUGUGGAAUAUUGGACAACGGGCGAAAGCCUGAUCCAGCCAUGCCGCGUGUGUGAAGAAGGUCUUCGGAUUGUAAAGCACUUUAAGUUGGGAGGAAGGGCAGUAAGUUAAUACCUUGCUGUUUUGACGUUACCGACAGAAUAAGCACCGGCUAACUUCGUGCCAGCCGCCGCAGUAAGAC
rnacentral:rRNA from 1 species